GCUGACAGAAACAGAAGCAAAUUUCCCUCCGGAAUAUGAAAAAUUUUGGAAAACUGUAGAAAAUAAUCCUCAGGAUUUUACAGGCUGGGUAUAUUUGCUUCAAUAUGUAGAACAGGAGAAUCACUUGAUGGCUGCCAGGAAGGCAUUUGACAGAUUUUUCAUACACUAUCCUUAUUGCUAUGGUUACUGGAAAAAGUAUGCAGACCUUGAAAAGCGGCACGACAACAUUAAACCAUCAGAUGAGGUGCGUUAAACCUCUACAGUUUGUCAAGCUUUGCAGUGCAAGCCUCUGUAUUACACUGCAGCUUAACAAGUAGGGCAGGGCUUUUCUCUCACUUACAUUUAUUUCUCAUUUUCCAAACAAUAUAGUUGGUUUGCUAGUCACAUUUGCUACGUCUUAUUGCAUUUUUGGUCAGACGCUGUCAUUGAUGCUCUAAUGGGUCUGUGCCCUAUGGUCUGUAACCCAAAGCCUGCCCACACAACCCGGUCAGAAUGCAGGGACUGCUGCGCUUUGAAGAUCAAGACUCUGCACGUGGGGAUCAGAACAUUGCCAUGUUCUAUCCAACCUCCACCCAAAUGGUAAUGGUAGAUUAUUUAAACAAAAUUCCAGUAAUUAGUAUUUCUAAGGUUCACCGGAUAACACAGUGUUGCCUCUCUGUUAAGAAAUAAUUAAAUAUUUGAAGUACA
rnacentral:sRNA from 1 species